GACGGAGGAUGCAAGUGUUAUCCGGAAUCACUGGGCGUAAAGCGUCUGUAGGUGGUCAAAUAAGUCAACUGUUAAAUCUUGAGGCUCAACCUCAAAAUCGCAGUCGAAACUAUUCGACUAGAGUAUAGUAGGGGUAAAGGGAAUUUCCAGUGGAGCGGUGAAAUGCGUAGAGAUGUGGAGGAAUACCGAUGGCGAAGGCAGCCCCCUGGGCCAAUACUGACGCUCAUGCACCGAAAGCGUGGGGAGCAAACAAGG
rnacentral:rRNA from 1 species